UACGUAGGGUACAAGCGUUGUCCGGAAUUAUUGGGCGUAAAGAGCUCGUAGGUGGUCUGUCACGUCUGCUGUGGAAACGCAAGGCUCAACCUUGCGCGUGCAGUGGGUACGGGCGGACUAGAGUGCAGUAGGGGAGUCUGGAAUUCCCGGUGUAGCGGUGAAAUGCGCAGAUAUCGGGAGGAACACCGGUGGCGAAGGCGGUUCUCUGGGCCUUACCUGACGCUGAGGAGCGAAAGCGUGGGGAGCGAACAGG
rnacentral:rRNA from 1 species